AACGAACGCUGGCGGCAGGCUUAACACAUGCAAGUCGAACGCCCCGCAAGGGGAGUGGCAGACGGGUGAGUAACGCGUGGGAACGUGCCCUUCGCUUCGGAAUAGCCCCGGGAAACUGGGAGUAAUACCGGAUACGCCGUAUUGGGAAAGAUUUAUCGGCGAAGGAUCGGCCCGCGUUGGAUUAGCUAGUUGGAGGUGUAAUGGACCCCCAAGGCUACGAUCCAUAGCUGGUCUGAGAGGAUGAUCAGCCACACUGGGACUGAGACACGGCCCAGACUCCUACGGGAGGCAGCAGUGGGGAAUCUUGGACAAUGGGCGCAAGCCUGAUCCAGCCAUGCCGCGUGAGUGAAGAAGGCCUUAGGGUUGUAAAACUCUUUCGCAGGUGAAGAUAAUGACGGGAACCAAAGAAGAAGCCCCGGCUAACUUCGUGCCAGCAGCCGCCGUAA
rnacentral:rRNA from 1 species